AUUGAACGCUGGCGGCAGGCCUAACACAUGCAAGUCGAACGAGUGGCGGACGGGAGAGUAAUGUCUGGGAAACUGCCUGAUGGAGGGGGAUAACUACUGGAAACGGUCGCUAAUACCGCAUAACAUAGGAUGUGACCAGAUGGGAUUAGCUAGUAGGUGGGGUAAAGGCUCACCUGGGCGAAGAUCCCUCGCUGGUCUGAGAGGAUGACCAGCCACACUGGAACUGAGACACGGUCCAGACUCCUACGGGAGGCAGCAGUGGGGAAUAUUGCACAAUGGGCGCAAGCCUGAUGCAGCCAUGCCGCGUGUAUGAAGAAGGCCUUCGGUUUGUAAAGUACUUUCAGCGGGGAGGCGUUACCCGCAGAAGAAGCACCGGCUAACUCCGUGCCAGCAGCCGCGGUAAUAC
rnacentral:rRNA from 1 species